GACGAACGCUGGCGGCAGGCCUAACACAUGCAAGUCGAACGAGUGGCGGACGGGUGAGUAAUGUCUGGGAAACUGACUGAUGGAGGGGGAUAACUACUGGAAACGGUAGCUAAUAACGCAUACCAUCAGAUGUGCCCAGAUGGGCUUAGCUUGUUGGUGGGGUAACGGCUCACCACGGCGACGAUCCCUAGCUGGUCUGAGAGGAUGACCAGCCACACUGGAACUGAGACACGGUCCAGACUCCUACGUGAGGCAGCAGUGGGGAAUAUUGGACAAUGGGCGAAAGCCUGAUGCAGCCAUGCCGCGUGUAUGAAGAAGGCCUGCGGGUUGUAAAGUACUUUCAGCGGGGAGGCGUUACCCGCAGAAGAAGCACCGGCUAACUCCGUGCCAGCAGCCGCGGUAAUUC
rnacentral:rRNA from 1 species